UCGUCGGUAUGCGCUUUAUCCAUUAAAAAUAAACAUGUUUGCUAAUUCCGCUUAUUAAAAUAUGUGUGCUGUAAUACCCCCCGUAAUUAUGUUGUUCAGAUCGAUAAUAAAGGAUCAGCUCGUUAUUCUAAAUUCGGUUAAAUUUAAACAUUUUUAUUGCUGUUGUUGUUUUGGUUAGCUAAAUUUAGCAAGCGAUGGUAAACAACAUCACAACACGGCUUUAGGUCAGUUUGGUAAACAGCCUAGUCAUUCCGGAUGAAAUCAUAAUGUAUUCCGGUGUUUUAUUUUUAGUAAUAGAGUUGCAUGUUGUCAGGAAUCUCUGGGGAUGAGAUUCCAUAUCAAUGUCUGGGCUGCUCCUUAUCUUCACAUCAGCCUACAAAUAAGUACGUAACAAUUAGCUUUAGCAACUUAGCCGUGUCUCCUUUUACCUGGGGUAAUGGGACAGCUGCUGCGUAGGGCUGAGCGGCGGAGACCAGAGGCUUGGUGGGUGGGGAAACUGUUGGAAAAGCCUGAUGCGAGCUCCUAAGUUGCUCUUGAGAGGAGGGGUCGUGUCCCUGAAAGCUGCAGUGACAAGAAGAGGAGGCUCCACGAUGCUAUUUAUGGACGCCGAGCGACGCCAUGCUAGUCUGAGCAUCCUAAUCCUCAAAGUGUGUGGCUAAAGUGUGAGCCUCCUCAAGUUCCGUCUCCAAGUUGUUAACAUCUUCAAUUAUCUGGGUGACACGAUCAAACUGAGACAGCAGAGCGUUGACACAAGGCAGCAGGUGGUCUAGGAAGGGCUGGACGUCAAAGCCCUGCUCAGAAAGUGAUGAGUCUUCAGACAUGGUAGAAAGCGAUGACGACGGCGGACGAGGAGAGGAAAAGGAAGGAGAUGAGGACGGAGAGCGAGAAGAUGGGAGGGAGGAAAAUAGAGUAGAGAGACGGGACUCUUGAGAAGCCCUGGAAGGAGCAACGUCCAUGCCUUCAAACUUCACCCUGUGCCUGAACUGGAAGUGAAAAGACAUGGCCAGUGUUAUUUAUAUAAAGAGACUCACUUUCAAAGACAGCAAGUCAUAGUAGAAUUAAUACCGGAAUCUACCGUAUUGCAAUACUCACUUCUUUAGCCUUGGUGAGCCCAAUCCCAAGCUUGAAUCUCUUGAUGAAGAAAUCCACCAUCUCAUAGUCCUGAGGUUCUGUCGUUGGACGAUAAAUGCCUGCUUUUUCAGCCCUGAAUAACAGAAUACAAAAACAUAGUUGCCAGUCCAUUACAAGAACAGUAUGGAAACGUUGUUGCUUUUAAAUUGCUGCAUCUUAAAUUGAUGCAUUGCAUCGCUGUAUUUCAAGUCUUACUGGACAAUUAAAUAACUAAAGUCGGUACAGGACAUGUCCAGGGAAAAAAAGCUAGCUUGGUCACCCUAAUGUUGGGAGUAAUGCCAUUAUUGUUUUCCAGUACCCUAGUAUAGCUAUCAGCUAACUACUUAUGUAUGUUUGUAUAGAAUAUCCCAAUGUCAAUAUGCACUGUAAUAUUCACAUAUACUGUAAAUAAAUACGUUUAACUAUAAUUGAA